rnacentral:rRNA from 1 species
AACGAACGCUGGCGGCAUGCCUAACACAUGCAAGUCGAACGAGAACUUCGGGUCUUGUGGCGCACGGGUGCGUCACGCGUGGGAACCUGCACUUAGGUUCGGAAUACCUCCCCGACAGGGGUGCUAAUACCGGAUAAUGUCUUCGGCCCAAAGAUUUAUCGCCUUUGGUUGGGCCCGCGUUGGAUUAGCUUGUUGGUAGGGUAAAAGCCUACCAAGGCGACGAUGCAUAGCUGGUCUGAGAGGAUGCUCAGCCACACUGGGACUAGGACACGGCCCAGACUCCUACGGAAGGCAGCAGUGGGGAAUAUUGGACAAUGGGCGAAGGCCUGAUCCAGCAAUGCCGGGUGAGUGAUGAAGGCCUUAGGGUUGUAAAGCUCUUUUACCCGGGAUGAUAAUGACAGUACCGGGAGAAUAAGCUCCGGCUAACUCCGUG